rnacentral:rRNA from 1 species
UGGGGAAUAUUGGACAAUGGGCGAAAGCCUGAUCCAGCCAUGCCGCGUGUGUGAAGAAGGCCUUUUGGUUGUAAAGCACUUUAAGCGAGGAGGAGGCUACUUGGAUUAAUACUCUAGGAUAGUGGACGUUACUUGCAGAAUAAGCACCGGCUAACUCUGUGCCAGCAGCCGCGGUAAUACAGAGGGCGCGAGCGUUAAUCGGAUUUACUGGGCGUAAAGCGUGCGUAGGCGGCUUUUUAAGUCGGAUGUGAAAUCCCUGAGCUUAACUUAGGAAUUGCAUUCGAUACUGGGAAGCUAGAGUAUGGGAGAGGAUGGUAGAAUUCCAGGUGUAGCGGUGAAAUGCGUAGAGAUCUGGAGGAAUACCGAUGGCGAAGGCAGCCAUCUGGCCUAAUACUGACGCUGAGGUACGAAAGCAUGGGGAGCAAACAGG